rnacentral:rRNA from 1 species
GACGUAGGGUCCAAGCGUUGUCCGGAUUUACUGGGCGUAAAGGGCGCGUAGGCGGGCCGCCAAGUUCGAGGUGAAAUCCCCCGGCUCAACCGGGGAACGGGCCUCGAUACGACCGGCCUGGAGGGGGGUAGGGGGCGCCGGAACUCACGGUGGAGCGGUGAAAUGCGUUGAGAUCGUGAGGAACGCCCGUGGCGAAAGCGGGCGCCUGGACCCCGCCUGACGCUGAGGCGCGAAAGCCAGGGGAGCGAACGGG